GACGAACGCUGGCGGCGUGCCUAAUACAUGCCAGUAGAACGCACAGUUUAUACCGUAGCUUGCUACACCAUAAACUGUGAGUUGCGAACGGGUGAGUAACGCGUAGGUAACCUGCCUGGUAGCGGGGGAUAACUAUUGGAAACGAUAGCUAAUACCGCAUAAUAUUGAUUAUUGCAUGAUAAUUGAUUGAAAGAUGCUAUUGCAUCACUACCAGAUGGACCUGCGUUGUAUUAGCUAGUAGGUGAGGUAACGGCUCACCUAGGCGACGAUACAUAGCCGACCUGAGAGGGUGAUCGGCCACACUGGGACUGAGACACGGCCCAGACUCCUACGGGAGGCAGCAGUAGGGAAUCUUCGGCAAUGGACGAAAGUCUGACCGAGCAACGCCGCGUGAGUGAAGAAGGGUUUCGGAUCGUAAAGCUCGGUUGUAAGAGAAGAACGGGUGUGAGAGUGGAAAGUUCACACUGUGACGGUAUCUUACCAGAAAGGGACGGCUAACUACGUG
rnacentral:rRNA from 1 species